rnacentral:rRNA from 1 species
GUACAGAGGGUGCAAGCGUUUGUUUCGGGAAUUAUUGGGCGUAAAGCGCGUGGUAGGCGGUGAUGCAUGUCGGGUGUCGAAAGCCCUCAGCUUAACUGAGGAAGUGCGCCCGAAACUGCAUCGCUGGAGUGUCGGAGAGGAAGGCGGAAUUCCCGGUGUAGAGGUGAAAUUCGUAGAUAUCGGGAGGAACACCAGUGGCGAAGGGCGCCUUCUGGACGAACACGUGACGCUGAGACGGCGAAAAGCGUGGGUAGCAA